GACGAACGCUGGCGGCGUGCUUAACACAUGCAAGUCGAACGGAAAUGCCCUGCUUUUGUGGGGUGCUCGAGUGGCUAACGGGUGAGUAACACGUGAUUAACCUGCCCUUGACUUUGGGAUAACUUCAGGAAACUGGGGCUAAUACCGGAUAGGAGCUCCUGCUGCAUGGUGGGGGUUGGAAAGUUUCGGCGGUUGGGGAUGGACUCGCGGCUUAUCAGCUUGUUGGUGGGGUAGUGGCUUACCAAGGCUUUGACGGGUAGCCGGCCUGAGAGGGUGACCGGCCAAAUUGGGACUGAGAUACGGCACAGACUCCUACGGGAGGCAGCAGUGGGGAAUAGUGCACAAUGGGCGGAAGCCUGAUGCAGCAACGCCGCGUGCGGGAUGACGGCCUUCGGGUUGUAAACCGCUUUCGCCUGUGACGAAGCGUGAGUGACGGUAAUGGGUAAAGAAGCACCGGCUAACUACGUG
rnacentral:rRNA from 1 species